UGGCUAUUGCCAAUUUUGGACUUGCAGAGAAGUGUCUUCCAUAAAUGGAUCAAGAAAUUAAAUGUUGAGGAAGGAUUUCAUCCGCCAAAUCUGAUCCAGAAGAGAAAUGUCUUCCACAACCGGAUCAAGGAAGGGAUGAUUCAUCAGUAAAUCACCUUUAGUCGUGGGAGACGAAGAAAGUCCACCUGGCUUAAAAUAUCUGCUCAUAUCUACCUGAUCCUCAACAUGUUCAUCAGAUUCACAGUUAGUAUCACCAAUCACAAAGUUGGAAGCUGGUUG
rnacentral:lncRNA from 1 species